rnacentral:piRNA from 1 species
UAACUGGUGGAAUGUAUAGGCUUACC